CUAUACAUGCACCCGAGCGAAUCACUGGGAGCUUGCUCCCUCUGGUUAGCGGCGGACGGGUGAGUAACACGUGGGCAACCUGCCUGUAAGACUGGGAUAACCUCGGGAAACCGGAGCUAAUACCGGAUAAUUUCUUCCCUCACAUGAGGGAAGGUUGAAAGUCGGUUUCGGCUGACACUUACAGAUGGGCCCGCGGCGCAUUAGCUAGUUGGUGAGGUAACGGCUCACCAAGGCGACGAUGCGUAGCCGACCUGAGAGGGUGAUCGGCCACACUGGGACUGACACACGGCCCACACUCCUACGGGAGGCAGCAGUAGGGAAUCUUCCACAAUGGACGAAAGUCUGAUGGAGCAACGCCGCGUGAGCGAGGAGGGCCUUCGGGUCAUAAAGCUCUGUUGUCAGGGAAGAACAAGUAUCGGAGUAACUGCCGGUACCUUGACGGGACAUGACCAAACCGCCACGGCUGACUACGUGCCAGCAGCCCGGGGUAAGACUUACGCGGUAAGCUUUAUCAGAAUUAUUGGCCGCAAGCGGGCGGAGCCCCUCCUUUAACUUGAUGUAAACGCCUCGGCCCAACCGUCGCAGGACAAUGGAAAUGGGGGACUU
rnacentral:rRNA from 1 species